AGCAGCCGCGGUAAUUCCAGCUCCAAUAGCGUAUAUUAAAGUUGUUGCAGUUAAAAAGCUCGUAGUUGAAUUUCGGGAUCAAUUUAUCGGUCGUGCCUACGGUAUGAACUGGUACAAUUGGUUUCUCCCUUCUGACGAAGCUCGAUGUCAUUAACUUGGUGUCGGGGGGAGUCAGGACUGUUACUUUGAAAAAAUUAGAGUGUUUAAAGCAGGCCUUGGCUUGAAUACAUUAGCAUGGAAUAAUGAAAUAGGACGUUUGAUCCUAUUUCGUUGGUUUCUAGGAUCGACGUAAUGAUUAAUAGGGAUAGUUGGGGGCAUUAGUAUUCAAUUGUCAGAGGUGAAAUUCUUGGAUUUAUUGAAGACUAACUACUGCGAAAGCAUUUGCCAAGGAUGUUUUCAUUAAUCAAGAACGAAAGUUAGGGGAUCGAAGACGAUCAGAUACCGUCGUAGUCUUAACCAUAAACUAUGCCGACUAGGGAUCGGAUGAUGUUAAUUUUUUAAUGACUCA
rnacentral:rRNA from 1 species